AGAGUUUGAUCCUGGCUCAGGAUGAACGCUAGCUACAGGCUUAACACAUGCAAGUCGAGGGGAAACGACAUCGAAAGCUUGCUUUUGAUGGGCGUCGACCGGCGCACGGGUGAGUAACGCGUAUCCAACCUGCCCACCACUUGGGGAUAACCUUGCGAAAGUAAGACUAAUACCCAAUGAUAUCUCUAGAAGACAUCUGAAAGAGAUUAAAGAUUUAUCGGUGAUGGAUGGGGAUGCGUCUGAUUAGCUUGUUGGCGGGGUAACGGCCCACCAAGGCUACGAUCAGUAGGGGUUCUGAGAGGAAGGUCCCCCACAUUGGAACUGAGACACGGUCCAAACUCCUACGGGAGGCAGCAGUGAGGAAUAUUGGUCAAUGGGCGAGAGCCUGAACCAGCCAAGUAGCGUGCAGGAUGACGGCCCUAUGGGUUGUAAACUGCUUUUAUAAGGGAAUAAAGUGAGCCUCGUGAGGCUUUUUGCAUGUACCUUAUGAAUAAGGACCGGCUAAUUCCGUGCCAGCAGCCGCGGUAAUACGGAAGGUCCGGGCGUUAUCCGGAUUUAUUGGGUUUAAAGGGAGCGUAGGCCGGAGAUUAAGCGUGUUGUGAAAUGUAGAUGCUCAACAUCUGCACUGCAGCGCGAACUGGUUUCCUUGAGUACGCACAAAGUGGGCGGAAUUCGUGGUGUAGCGGUGAAAUGCUUAGAUAUCACGAAGAACUCCGAUUGCGAAGGCAGCUCACUGGAGCGCAACUGACGCUGAAGCUCGAAAGUGCGGGUAUCGAACAGGAUUAGAUACCCUGGUAGUCCGCACGGUAAACGAUGGAUGCCCGCUGUUGGUCUGAAUAGGUCAGCGGCCAAGCGAAAGCAUUAAGCAUCCCACCUGGGGAGUACGCCGGCAACGGUGAAA
rnacentral:rRNA from 1 species